rnacentral:ncRNA from 1 species
AUAAAAGCAAUGAUAAAGAGGAGUAGAAAUUUAUAAGCAUUAUAAGAGAGAGGGAAGAGCUGAAAACCCUUAUGUGGAGAAUUUUGAAGGUAGCUUUUGAGCUUCUUUAGUGAAUGUAAGUAGCUAAAGACGGUUAUCUAAAUCGUUAUUUGAAUUAAGAGUCCAUUAGAACAUAUUUAUUUUAUAUGUUUACGUGGAAAUAAAGGUGGUAACGCGAGUCUUCGUCCUUUUU